AAAACCCCCACCGCCUCUACGUCCAUGUUAUGCCCAUCGCCCCUCACUCUCAAUCAGCUGCUCCACAGCUUUUGUUACCCACCCAGGUAUUCAUCGGGUUAUUGUCUACCAUGGUCACCGCCUCCACUACUUACUCCCUAUGUGUAUUCCAUCUUCUCUCUUCUAUUCUCGCUCUACCCGUUACCAUCUCUAAAUGGGUGCAUCAAUAACAGAUCGGGGAGGAAAAACUAAGUAAUCGCCAAGGUAGCCGGCGUCUGGUCGUGUCAAAGACUGAUUCUUGUCGCCGCCGACGUAAAGGCUUUUGGGUAUCGGCUAUUUCACAUACAUAUUUUCUUCAAGGUAUGACACUCUGCAAUCGAUUUCAUUUUGCUUCUCUUCGACCAGUCUAACUACAACAACUAAGCAACUGGAAAAGGUCCAAUGGAAUUUGAAAAAAGAUUGUUCCAUUCAUCUUCUCUUGGUAAGAUUUUUCCCAAUAGAAAUACAAUUUUUUUUCCUUUUUUGUGUUAUAAUUUUGUUAUAGAUGUUAGAAAUUCUUAAUUUUGUUUAUUUUUAAACCAAAACAUGGAGAAACAAUCUGAACAAUUGAGGGACAUAUCAAGUAGAUAUGAACAUGACAAGAAAGUUUGGGUGGCUGUAGUCAAGGAACCAUCACACAGAAUAACGGUAUUGAAACCAGACCACUCUCAACUCUCUCUUCAAGCACACCACUGUGCUAAUUUAGUUCCAGAUCUCAAUAACAUGGUUUCUAUAGUUCAAGCAUUGGGUGGGUAAAUUAGUAAAUUCAUGAUUAAAUUUUCACCCUAUUGGAAGUUUGAACAUUUUCUAUCAUUACUUUUACUUGCACAAUGUGAGGAUCAUAAAGUCAAAUACAACAAAGAACAAAUCAAGAGAAGAAAGCUUCAUAAUCAACUUGAUGAUACAAAAGGUGUUUUGCAGAUGAUGUCCACCAAGCAAACACGAAACUUUGACCGGAUGGUCAACCAUGGUUGACUUUAAUUCAUCUUCAAAUGGAGAACUUGGUGUUAUUAAUAAUGGUUCCACUAAAAAUACAUUUACAUUCGCUAUAGUCUUCACACCAAAUGCCAAUCAAGUUGAUGUUUUUGCACAUGCUUCACCAUUGGCGACUUCAGUUUUCGAUGGAUACGACGUGUACAUAUUUGCAUAUGGUCAAACGGAGAUAGGAAAGACAUUUACCAUGGAGGGUAUUGAGGGAAAUCAAGGGAUUAGUUACAAAACACUAGAGGAAUUAUUAAAAAUUGCAAAAGAAAGAACUGAUACUUUUAUUUAUAACAUAUCAGUUAGUAUGUUGGAAGUUUAUAAUGAACAAAUAAGAGAUCUACUUGCAACACCA